GGAUAAUCAAGCCAGUGUUGAAUGUCUGCUGAGGAAAGAUGCCUCUGAUCCAGGUGAAUCAGGCAAUAAACAACACCCAAAGAGCAAAGCUUUUACUUGAGUCCCAGCUGGUACAGUGGUGUGACCUGCGAUUAUUGUAGGGUAUGGAGAUCCUAUAAAAGUGAUAAAUCUUUGCUUGAAAGCCGCUGACCACACAGACACCUAGCAGGAUUCUGGGAACUCAGAAUAUUUGAGCAGGAAAGGAUCUGACUAUCAACUGAAAGACAUUUUCAUUUUGACACAUGAGGAAACCAGAGAGAGCAACUUGUGUAAACACCCACUGAACUUCUGGCUGCCUGAGUCUCUGCAGGAAUGUUUUCAAUACGGGGCCAUCCUAUAGUUGGUAAGAAGUUCCAACAUGCCCACCCAGAAAUUAGAAACCUGAACAACCCCUGACUCCGGUAGGGUCUUUGAACCCAGAAUUGGACACAUCUGUUUUCAAAAGAACUUUAGCUCCAACAUGAAAGUCACGGAGGAAAACAUUGUCUUCACGUGUAGAAGAGUCCACGUGGAGCCCACCCCGGGGUCUAGGAUCACCCCAGAGCCAUUGUGAGGGGAUUUAAGGAGCCUUCAGUUUGACACUCACAAUCUGACUCUACUCAAAGACCCUGCGUAGAAAAUGAGAUCUCAGCUUACCCUGUAACCCUGCAACCAGUGCCCAGGACUAUUCCAAUAAAGGUCAAACAUCCUUGAGGGUUGCUACUGCCUUAUUUUUCCUGCUCCUGCUCCUGCAGUGGGUCCUCCCACCUAUUGCUGAGGCUCUCUGCUCUCUCUGCUUCCCAGUGCCUGCUUGUGUUCCUUGGCGCUUCCUCCUCUU